rnacentral:rRNA from 1 species
UACGUAGGGCGCAAGCGUUGUCCGGAAUUAUUGGGCGUAAAGAGCUCGUAGGCGGUGUGUCGCGUCGGCCGUGAAAACCUGCAGCUUAACUGUGGGCGUGCGGUCGAUACGGGCAUCACUGGAGUUCGGCAGGGGAGACUGGAAUUCCUGGUGUAGCGGUGAAAUGCGCAGAUAUCAGGAGGAACACCGGUGGCGAAGGCGGGUCUCUGGGCCGAUACUGACGCUGAGGAGCGAAAGCGUGGGGAGCAAACAGG